CCUACGGGAGGCAGCAGUGAGGAAUAUUGGUCAAUGGCCGCAGGGCUGAACCAGCCAAGUCGCGUGAGGGAUGAAGGUCCUAUGGAUUGUAAACCUCUUUUGUCAGGGAGCAAAGGGCGCCACGUGUGGCGCUUUGCGAGUACCUGAAGAAAAAGCAUCGGCUAACUCCGUGCCAGCAGCCGCGGUAAUACGGAGGAUGCGAGCGUUAUCCGGAUUUAUUGGGUUUAAAGGGUGCGCAGGCGGAAUGUCAAGUCAGCGGUAAAAUUUCGGGGCUCAACCCCGUCGUGCCGUUGAAACUGGCGUUCUUGAGUGAGCGAGAAGUAUGCGGAAUGCGUGGUGUAGCGGUGAAAUGCAUAGAUAUCACGCAGAACUCCGAUUGCGAAGGCAGCAUACCGGCGCUCAACUGACGCUCAUGCACGAAAGCGUGGGUAUCGAACAGGAUUAGAUACCCCGGUAGUC
rnacentral:rRNA from 1 species